CUCUCAAUUUGGUUUGUGGUGUCAGGAAAUCUAGGGGAUCCUGUACACCUACCUUUCUUUUUCAUGGAGGAAUAUUAUUCAUGAUAAUAAAGAUAAUCUCAUUGUGUAAAUAACUUGUUUCCUUCAUAUUUAUCAGAAUACAAUGUUUUUCUUUACAACUAUAUCAGGGGAAAUACCUCUUUAGGUGUUGAAUAUUCCAAGCGUGGGGCUCAUG
rnacentral:lncRNA from 1 species